GGCAAUGGCUUUCACCAGCUGCAGGACUGGGUUUUCACUGUCCUUCAGAACAGCAAUUUGAAAUGUGGAGCUGUCACAGAAGGCACAACAUAAGCACUGAAAAAAUGCAUCAAAUGCACAGAUUCAUCUGCAUGGAGCCAUUCGGUACAUGGAGAGAGGUAGGAAGUCCUCUUCCUUUUUUUGGGUGGAACAGCCAGGCCCCUCCAGUUCUCAACUGCAUCUUCAUCAGCCGGAGGAAUUUUUGUGGCAGCAUCAGAUCCCACAAACGGAACAAAUCCGCAUAUUUCCCUCGAUGAAGGAAAGAUGACGAGCAAUGAAGCGAUCGACUCGAACAGGCAAGUUUUCAUGUUUGAAAAGGCCGUGUUUUAUGUUUUUGAACUCAGCUUCAACAGUGGCUGAACUUGCUGUGAUGCUGGUGCUUUGGAAGAGAGGGACCAUUAUUCCUGUCCAGAGAGGCAAGUAACUUGUCAGUCUUAUUAUAUGAGGAAUAAUCUCAGGGAGAAAGUGAAUAUUAGUCCCACUGGCAU